rnacentral:lncRNA from 1 species
AAAAACACACAGACAGACAAAAACACACACAGACAUACAGAAACACACACAUACAGACAGAAGGACACAUAGACAGAAACACAGACAUACCGUAACACAGACAGACAGAAACACAGACAGACAAACAGACAGACAGACAGAAACACAGACAUACAGACAGACACACACACAGACAGACAAAAACAUAGACAGACAGAGACAGACAGAAACACAGACAGACAGACACACAGAAACACAGACAGACAGACAGAAACACACACAGACAGACAAAAACACAGACAGACAGACAUACAGAAACACACACAUACAGACAGAAACAUAGACAGAAACACAGACAGACAGAAACACAGACAGACAGAAACACAGACAUACAGACAGAAACACACACAGACAGAAACACACAGACAGACAGACAGACCAACACAGACAGACAGACAGACACACAGACAGAAACACAAAAACACAGACAGAGAGAAACACAGAAAGAAACACAGACACACAGACAGAAACACAGAAACACACACACAGACAGACAAACACAGACAGACAGACAGACAGACAGACAGACAGACAGACAGACAGACAGACAGACAGACAGACAGACAGACAGACAGACAGACAGACACACAGACAGACAAAAACACAGACAGACAAAACACACACAGACAGACAGAAAGCAACAUAGACAGACAGGUAGGAACAUAGACAGACAGACAGACAGCAACAUAUCAGACAGACAGACAGCAACAGAUCAGACAGAUAGACAGCAACACAGACAGACAGACAGUAACAUAGACAGACAGACAGACAGACAGACAGAGAGACAGACAGACAGACAGACAGACAGACAGACAGACAGACAGACAGACAGACAGACAGACAGACAGACAGACAGACAGACAGACAGACAGGAACAUAGACAGACAAGAACAUAGACAGACAGAAAGGAACAUAGACAGACAGACAGGAACAUAGACAGACAGACAGGAACAUUGACAGACAGGCACACAGUUAAAUAAUGCAGUUGUGGAAGCCCACAGACUUUCACACACAACUUACCGUUCUCUUUCCUGAGCUUCUCUGUAGACAGAAGAUAAAACAUGAUGUAUU